GAACUAAGCCACCGGUUCUCGUUAGAUCACCGAAGUUAAGCAUCAUUGGGCGCGGUCAGUACUUGGGUGGGUGACCACCUGGGAACACUGCGUGCCGUU
rnacentral:rRNA from 1 species